rnacentral:rRNA from 1 species
AGCAGCCGCGGUAAUUCCAGCUCCAAUAGCGUAUAUUAAAGUUGUUGCAGUUAAAAAGCUCGUAGUUGAAUUUCGGGAUCAAAUUGUUGGUCGUGCUUCGGUACGCACUGGCAUUAUUGGUUCCUACCUUCUGAAGAACCGCGAUGUCAUUAAUUUGGUGUCGUGGGGAAUCAGGACUGUUACUUUGAAAAAAUUAGAGUGUUUAAAGCAGGCGCACGCUUGAAUACAUUAGCAUGGAAUAAUGAAAUAGGACGUUUGAUUCUAUUUUGUUGGUUUCUAGGAUCGACGUAAUGAUUAAUAGGGAUAGUUGGGGGCAUUAGUAUUCAAUUGUCAGACGUGAAAUUCUUGGAUUUAUUGAAGACUAACUACUGCGAAAGCAUUUGCCAAGGAUGUUUUCAUUAAUCAAGAACGAAAGUUAGGGGAUCGAAGACGAUCAGAUACCGUCGUAGUCUUAACCAUAAACUAUGCCGACUAGGGAUCGGAUGAUGUUAAUUUUUUAAUGACUCA